GAAAUGCGAUAAGUAAUGUGAAUUGCAGAAUUCAGUGAAUCAUCGAAUCUUUGAACGCACAUUGCGCCCGCCAGUAUUCUGGCGGGCAUGCCUGUCCGAGCGUCAUUUCAACCAUCAAGCCCCCGGGCUUGUGUUGGGGACCUGCGGCUGCCCGCAGGCCCUGAAAACCAGUGGCGGGCUCGCUGUCACACCGAGCGUAGUAGCAAUCACCUCGCUCAGGGCGUGCUGCGGGUUCCGGCCGUUAAACAGCCUUACAAAACCCAAGGUUGACCUCGGAUCAGGUAGGAAGCCCCGCUGAACUUACGC
rnacentral:misc_RNA from 1 species